CACGUAGGGUGCGAGCGUUGUCCGGAAUUAUUGGGCGUAAAGAGCUCGUAGGCGGUGUGUCGCGUCGGCCGUGAAAACCUGCAGCUCAACUGUGGGCGUGCGGGCGAUACGGGCAGACUUGAGUACUGGCAGGGGAGACUGGAAUUCCUGGUGUAGCGGUGGAAUGCGCAGAUAUCAGGAGGAACACCGGUGGCGAAGGCGGGUCUCUGGGCAGUAACUGACGCUGAGGAGCGAAAGCGUGGGGGAGCGAACAGG
rnacentral:rRNA from 1 species